rnacentral:rRNA from 1 species
GACGAACGCUGGCGGCGUGCUUAACACAUGCAAGUCGAGCGGAGCGGCGAACGGGUGAGUAACGCGUGAGUAACUGCCCCCCUCUCUGGGAUAACAGUUGGAAACGGAUGAUAAUAACGGAUAGUGGGGGAUGACGCGGGUCUUAUUAGCUUGUUGGGUGGGUAGUGGCCUACCAAGGCGACGAAGGGUAGCCGGCCUGGGAGGGCGACCGGCCACAUUCGGGUGAGAGACGGACCAUACUCACACGUGAGGCAGCAGUGGGGAAUAAUGCACACUCGGGGAGACCCUGAUGCAGCAACCCGGGUGCGGGAUGACGGCCUUCUGGUUGUAAACCGCUUUCAGCCAUGACGCGGUAGCGGCAGAAGAAGCACCGGCUAACUACGUGCCAGCAGCCGCGGUAAUAC